rnacentral:rRNA from 1 species
UUCCUACGGGUGGCAGCAGUAGGGAAUAUUGGUUAAUGGGCGAAAGCCUGAACCAGCAACGCCGCGUGUGCGAUGACGGCCUUCGGGUUGUAAAGCACUUUUUGAGGGGAUGAGGAAGGACAGUACCCUCAGAAUAAGUCUCGGCUAACUACGUGCCAGCAGCCGCGGUAACACGUAGGAGACUAGCGUUAUUCGGAUUUACUGGGCGUAAAGCGCGUGCAGGCGGUUCGGUAAGUUGGAUGUGAAAGCUCCUGGCUUAACUGGGAGAGGUCGUUCAAAACUACCGGACUUGAGAGUGGUAGAGGGAGAUGGAAUUCCGGGUGUAGUGGUAAAAUGCGUAGAUAUCCGGAAGAACACCAGUGGCGAAAGCGGUCUCCUGGACCAUUUCUGACGCUCAGACGCGAAAGCUAGGGUAGCGAACGGGAUUAGAUACCCGAGUAGUCA